rnacentral:tRNA from 1 species
GCCGACGUAGCUCAGGUGGUAGAGCGGCCGGCUCUUAAAACCGGCAGGCCCCCGGUUCGACACCGGGCGUCGGCA